GUCAGAACCGGAACUCCUCACUGAGCUAAGUAGGGUGAUGAGUUUUAAGUGAGCUUUACGUGUUCUAACGCAUACCCAGAUGGUCUAACAGUUUGACUCUGGAGUCAGCGGUGAUAAUGACAGAUUCCAAGACUCUCCGUUCCCCGUGUUCUUGGAUUAUUCCCGUGGUGAUGUGAUCCUGCGCUCAGAAGUUUGGACAGUGGCCUCCUGUUUCCCCAGCUUUCUGACUGGCAGAUGCUAGAGCUGAGCAGCCCCACUUUGCCUACUCUCCUUGGGGCCCUGACAUCCUCCACCUCUUUCAGAGGGGCAACACCAGGCUAAGGCAUCGCUUUUCAUUGUUCCCCGUGGUUCUGCCUCAACCAACCCCGCUGCCAGCUACAGCACUCCAAGGCUCCUCAACCCCUCGCUCCAACUUGUUCAAGGAUUCCUUGCUUCGGAUCCCAGGACAUCUCCAGCCACUCUUCCUUCUGUGUCUAGGAUGUCUACUCUGCAACCUAGUUUAUGUCUACUCUAUGAACCUGAAGUGGCUUCCUGUUGUUUUUGGAUUCAACUCCAAAGUCGUCUUCCACCUCUCACUGGGCCACUGCACCCACUUCAACUGCCUCCCGCCGCACUCAGACCCAUCAUCCUACUUAGUGCCUCCCCAUCUGUCACCAGGCUGUGCUCUCAGCCUGGAAUUUUCUUUCCUCCAAUGUGUCGCUGGAUCGUGUCUAGCAAUUUAUGCUAAUAGGGUAUCUCGCCUCAUGAAAAGCACAUGAUAAAUAUGUGUAGACUGACUGAUUCAAAUUUUAAAAUGUGGAAGUUACUGAUGGGUUGAAAUAAUCCAUGAUGGGCACCUACUGUGACUCUAGCACUGAACCAAACCCUGGGAUCUGAGUGAAUCGCAAGCCACCGCUCCCACCUGGGGUCUGCUCAUAGUCUGGGGGAGAGACAGAAAUGGAAGGACAGGAAUUUGAGUGCAGCUUUAAUCUGAUAAGGAAAUCACUACCAAGCAUCUCUUCUAUGUCAAGAACCGGACUAGAUACUGUGUUCCAUGGAUGAGUACGUGAAAACUGAGUGAUUCCACCAAGAUUAAUUACCGUUAACAGAGGGAGCCUGGAUUGGCAUGGCUUUAUUUUUCUGCUCCAGAGCCUAAAUGUUUUUCGUUUCUUCUUGGUUUUUCCUCCCCAACCCCCAGGCCGCCCCGGAAGAUCCUUGCCACUGCUCCAGCUCUGGGGCUCCCAGGGUAGCUUCUGAGCCCCACACAAAGCCAAGGCACCAUCCCUGGGAAGUUAGGAUGAAGAGCACCAUCCAAGUCCACCUUCCACCACGGAUAUCGGCUCACAGCAAAACGUCAGCCCAUGGAGCUGAGCCCUUCCUUACACGUGUGGGGUGCUGCACCUGCCCCCCACCCCAGGCCUCCCGCACAGUAUCCCAGCACCGGGGUGACCUCCGGCACCCUUGUUACCACCAGGUCCAACGCACUUGACCACCUGUCCAUCCAGAGCUGAGUAGCCGUCCCAGCCUCCCACACUGCUUAUGGUGGGUCCAGCAGGCUUUCCACACCCCACUCCUAGCUGACUGGACUGGACCAAGUUAAAUGCUCUUCCCUUCAUUAUCCAAAAGAGUUUUAUUCUGACUGAAGUGAACAAUGUGGAGGAGCACAACUGAGCCCUGGCGCAGGAUGAGAAGUUUCUUAUAUCUAAAGAGCUGCACUUCAAAGUGUCCAGUGGACAGGUUCCACUGUAAUUAGGGGGAGGAAUUCGCCAUGUAACUUAAUUAAUAUCAAACCUUUUUUUUUUCUCACUUAAAUACAAGACAGGAAGAUGGCUAAAGAAAGGGUGGGAAGAAGCUACGGACAGAAUCUGACUGGCUCAGUCAUGGGCAGAACAGCCACAAACUUGUUUUCUAGAUGAGUCCUUGGGUCAGAGAAGAACUUGAAUGCCACAGGGCGAUCAAAGAAAAGGACUUCUCCCAUUCCCGAUGCUCUGACCAUUGUGUAAAAUAAAGGGAAGACCUAAGAGAGUUACCUAGAUAUUUCAAAGGAGAAAUGCAAAAGUCGUAUUUUGUAAAAAAAAAAAAAAAAAAAAAAAAGUUUGCAGAAAGUG
ensembl:lncRNA